rfam:Salmo salar isolate Sally breed double haploid chromosome ssa28, whole genome shotgun sequence.
AUCGCUUCUCGGCCUUUUGGCUCAGAUCAAGUGUAGUAUCUGUUCUUAUCAGUUUAAUAUCUGAUACGUCCCCCAUCGGGGGACUACAUAUUAAAUGGAUUUUUCGAACAGGGAGUCGGAAAUGGGGCUUGCUCCGUCCGCUCCACGCAUCGACCCGGUAUUGCAGUACCUCCGGGAAUGGUGCAACACUU